GAUGGAAGUCUUCCCCACCAUGAAUGGGCCGUAUAAGAGGAAGUAGCAAAGCCCAUCAUCAUCACCAUCAUCAUCAUGCACAUUGUGGGAUCGUUGUUGCUGCUUCCGACAAAUUUUAUUUAUGAUUUUUUCUACAUCUUCUUCGUCUCUUCCCACCACCUCUUCUCUCAAGAUGGUGAAGUACUCUUCUUUUUUGUCUUCUUCUUCUCGUCGUGGAUAUGUAGAAUCCAUAAUCUCCUUUCGAAGGCAUAGCGAAGACCCUCUCCUCACGAGGUAAUUCAACCUGCUUGCCUUAUGCUCCAUCUCUAGUAGAAUAGCAUGGCGAGAUGCUACUUCGGGGAAGGAGCACGGCAGGAGGUUGGAUGCCGCCGCUCCCUUGGGUUGCCAGCCCAGGAUGCUGCGGAGCAGGUCUUCCACGUCCGCGACGGCUAUCCCGACGUCGUUCGCCCACUCCUCCACCUCCGGCUCCUUCAACGCUCUUAUCUGGGCAUCCAUGAUCACCGCAUAGAGGGCCCAGAUGCAAUCAUGAACCAUCUCCAGUAUGUCGGGUGGGAGUCUUGGAAUUCGCUCGCUUCUCCAUUUAGUAGAGCUCAAUAGUACUCUUGGCAUCGGACUUAACCAUCGAACGCACGCGACCACGAGGACGUACCUGAUAGAUAGAAGAUAAGAUUUUCCUAUUCUGUUGAGGAAAAUCCUCUCUUAUAAAUAGGAGAGGGAUAUGUUAAUUUGCACGCAAGAAUAAAGGGCAUCACCGUCUCCAAAUUGGAAGGAUUCCAAAGGUUGUGCCACUAAUACCACCAACACACUCUUGGAAUCUACCUUACCGUCGGCACAAGAAACAAAUCAAGAAUCUCCAUCGUCCCAAGCAAGCUCCCAGUUAGUUAGUCGCUUUAUUGUUCUCCAUGGUCUUCUUUCCGCGGCUUUCAUGCGAACAGAAUUCUCGAUCUCAUGCAAGCUGUGAAGGAAAAGCUAUAAAGAAGAGGUUGUCGGAUGCAAGAUCACUUCAAUUAAUUUAUCGCAAAGGAUAAAAGUAGAUUGUUGUUGAACUCUUUGUAUUUUUGUUGAUUCAAUCCGACCUCCAUACUGUAUGAUGAAGGAUCCAUCCGGUAGAAAUACAUAUAAUAUAUAGUUU